AUUGAACGCUGGCGGCAGGCCUAACACAUGCAAGUCGAACGGUAACAGGAAGACGCUUGCUUCUUUGCUGACGAGUGGCGGACGGGUGAGGAAUGUCUGGGAAACUGCCUGAUGGAGGGGGAUAACUACUGGAAACGGUAGCUAAUACCGCAUAACGUCGCAAGACCAAAGAGGGGGACCUUCGGGCCUCUUGCCAUCGGAUGUGCCCAGAUGGGAUUAGCUAGUAGGUGGGGUAACGGCUCACCUAGGCGACGAUCCCUAGCUGGUCUGAGAGGAUGACCAGCCACACUGGAACUGAGACACGGUCCAGACUCCUACGGGAGGCAGCAGUGGGGAAUAUUGCACAAUGGGCGCAAGCCUGAUGCAGCCAUGCCGCGUGUAUGAAGAAGGCCUUCGGGUUGUAAAGUACUUUCAGCGGGGAGGAAGGGAGUAAAGUUAAUACCUUUACUCAUUGACGUUACCCGCAGAAGAAGCACCGGCUAACUCCGUG
rnacentral:rRNA from 1 species